rnacentral:snRNA from 1 species
AUACUUAACUUGCAGGGGGGAUGCCAUGAUCACCAAAGUGGUGCUCUCAAGAGGCUCAUCCACUACAUUCCAGAUGUGCAGACCCCUGUGAUUUGCCAAAUGUGGGAAAGCCAACUGCAUAACUUGAGGGGUGAAUUUGUGCCUUCCCUCC